UGGGGAAUAUUGCACAAUGGAGGGAACUCUGAUGCAGCGACGCCGCGUGAACAAAGAAGGCUUUCGAGUCGUAAAGUUCUUUUAUAUGGGAAGAUAAUGACGGUACCAUAAGAAAAAGCCCCGGCUAACUACGUGCCAGCAGCCGCGGUAAUACGUAGGGGGCUAGCGUUGUCCGGAAUCACUGGGCGUAAAGGGUUCGCAGGCGGAAAUGCAAGUCAGGUGUAAAAGGCAGUAGCUUAACUACUGUAAGCAUUUGAAACUGCAUAUCUUGAGAAGAGUAGAGGUAAGUGGAAUUUUUAGUGUAGCGGUGAAAUGCGUAGAUAUUAAAAAGAAUACCGGUGGCGAAGGCGACUUACUGGGCUCAUUCUGACGCUGAGGAACGAAAGCGUGGGUAGCAAACAGG
rnacentral:rRNA from 3 species